GAUUACCUACGGGGGGCAGCAGUGGGGGAUAUUGCACAAUGGGGGGAACCCUGAUGCAGCGACGCCGCGUGGGUGAAGAAGCGUUUCGGCGCGUAAAGCCCUGUCAGCAGGGAAGAAGAUGACGGUACCUGACCAAGAAGCCCCGGCUAACUACGUGCCAGCAGCCGCGGUAAUACGUAGGGGGCAAGCGUUAUCCGGAUUUACUGGGUGUAAAGGGGGCGCAGACGGCGAUGCAAGCCAGGAGUGAACGCCCGGGGCCCAACCCCGGGCCUGCUCUUGGAACUGCGUGGCUGGAAUGCAGGCGG
rnacentral:rRNA from 1 species